UGGGUCCGCCAUUUGUCAGGUCAUAGCACGGUAUUAUGAUCACGGUUUAACAAUUUAGUGAAUAUUCUUGUCAUUUAGCUGCCAUUGCCUGCUGUCAAGUCAAACGAAUGUAAACAAUAAUAACAAAUAUCAACGUAUUUUUGGUGAUAUUUAGCGGAUUCGUGUGGUUUUAUUAGCUUUUUUUGCUGAAUAGCAGGAUAUUUACGAUGGCUUACUUCACAAUUAUAGUAUUUCUCCUUCAAAAUUGAUGAAAAGACUCAUCGAAUUGAAAAAACUCCAAGCAUCAUAUAGAAGGAAAUUAUACAAUUAAGUCUCUAAAAAAUAAAAUACAACACAUGAAAGAAAUGAUGGACUUUUUUAGACAAGAUCAACGUAUUUCUGAAAAUGCUGCCCAUCAUUGGGAGAAAUCUUUUGAUUCAGUGCCACAUUGAUGGAGAGAUA